AGGCGCGUACAAAACCUAGUCUGUGAAGAACUGUCUCAGCCUACUGAAGCUAGCAAGGGUCCUGUAGGAAAGGGAAGUGCAGCCCGGUCCCGGGGAGGAGGCGGAGUAUACGCAUACGCAGUGCGCAUGCGCGGCGCAGGUCAAUGGCGGGGUUAUCCGGACUGGCGGAAGCUACCUUUCCAACAUGGCGGGCGAGACUGACGGACCGUUCAAAGGGGUGCUGGUACCAAUUCUUUUACCUGAGAAAUGCUAUGAUCAAUUCUUCGUCCACUGGGACUUGCUUCAUGUUCCCUGCCUCAAGAUUCUCCUCAGCAAAGGCCUUGGGCUGGGCAUCGUGGCUGGGUCACUUCUUGCUCCCCCAGAUAUUUAAACUCUUGGGAGCCAAGAGUGCAGAAGGACUGAGUCUCCAGUCAGUAAUGCUGGAGCUAGUGGCACUGACUGGAACUAUGGUCUACAGCAUCACCAACAACUUCCCCUUCAGGCCUGCCUUUUUCCUUCCCACCUCUUGACUCUGCAGCUCUUGGGGUGAAGCACUGUUCCUGACACUACAGACGGUUACCAUCUGCUUCCUGGUCAUGCACUACAGAGGAGAGACCGUGAAAGGAGUUGCUUUCCUUGUCUGCUUUGCCGUGGUCCUGUUGGCGCUGCUUUCCCCAGUCAUGCCUCUGGCUGUGCCCACCCUGCUCCAGGCCUC
rnacentral:lncRNA from 1 species